UGCAUGCUCUGUGGGCCUGUAUACCUGCUCACAGUGUACAAUGGGUGUCACAGGUAAUUAUCUGCAUGCUCUGUGGGCCUGUAUACCUGCUCACAGUGUACAAUGGGUGUCACAGGUAAUUAUCUGCAUGCUCUGUGGGCCUGUAUACCUGCUCACAGUGUACAAUGGGUGUCACAGGUAAUUAUCUG